UGCGUAACGCGUAUCCGAACUUUCCCCGUUACUCUCGGAUUAGCCUUCCGAAAAGGGGAGAUUAAUACGAGAUGGUGUUUUAAUUUCGCAUGUUAUUAGAACUAAGAUUCAUCGGUAACGGAUAGGGAUGCGUGACAUUAGCUGGUUGGCGGGGUAACGGCCCACCAAGGCGACGAUCGUUAGGGGUUCUGAGAGGAAGGUCCCCCACACUGGAACUGAGACACGGUCCAGACUCCUACGGGAGGCAGCAGUGAGGAAUAUUGGUCAAUGGGCGCGAGCCUGAACCAGCCAAGUAGCGUGAAGGAUGACUGCCCUACGGGUUGUAAACUUCUUUUGUUUGGGAAUAAAUGAUACUACGUGUAGUAUUUUGCAUGUACCUUACGAAUAAGCAUCGGCUAAUUCCGUG
rnacentral:rRNA from 1 species